rnacentral:rRNA from 1 species
GAAAGCAUCUAAGCGGGAAACUCACCUCAAAACCAGGUUUCGCUUGAGAGCCGGGGAAGACUACCCCGUCGAUAGGCCAGGUGUGUAAGCGCAGCAAUGCGUUGAGCUUACUGGUACUAAUCGCUCGAUUGGCUUGAUCGC